GCCCCACAUGAUCCCCCACCAAAAAAAAAAAAAAAAAAAAAAAAUUGCAGAGGAAUAAUUUACAAAGAAGCUGUUCCUUUUCAGUGGACAGAAGUCUUCUAUCUGCUAUCUGGAGUACUCCUUGAACAAAGACAAUAAGGAAAGCGAAUUAAUAGUCCAAAGAUGAGCAUGGAUUAGGGGCUGUUUCUUUCUGAGGUCUAAGGUGAGGCCCCCAUGAGCUGACGACUUCCUUACAACCACUGCAAAUGCAGAAUACCUGUGCAAGUCUGUGUCUUUCUCCAUUUGCCAGUGCUGGAUGAACACCAGUAAACGCCUGCUCUUUAGGCUGCUGCCUCUUGAAGACUGAGCUAACAGGGUCCUUGCUCUGUGGUUGUGUUUUAGAGGCCCCACUUUGGCAUUCCUCCUACCUGGGACUUGGAAUUCUCUGCUGGAACAGCCCCAAGCCCACUCCCAAAGCCUCUUCCCCAGGUCUAUCGCCAAUGUACAUAUCCAAGGCCCAAAGAUGGCUAAAGAUCAGCUGCUCUGCAGGGAGUAGGAAGACAGAAUAUAAACAUGUGUCCUGAGCUUUGGGCUUUUAACUAGUAUCUUCUUCAAUUAAAGUGGCAAGGCAGAACAGACAAGGAAAUCAGUGGAUCUCUUCCCAAACAUCAAUAAAACAAAUUUCUCUCCGGGA